CGAAGGAGUGGCGAACGGGUGAGUAAUACAUAAGCAACCUACCCACGAAGACUGGGAUAAUCUCUGGAAACGGGGACUAAUACCGGAUAGGUAAUCGGAAGGCAUCUUCUGGUUAUUAAAGGUUAAAAACACUGGUGGAUGGGCUUAUGGCGCAUUAGUUAGUCGGUGAGGUAACGGCCCACCAAGACGAUGAUGCGUAGCCGGCCUGAGAGGGUGAACGGCCACAUUGGGACUGAGACACGGCCCAG
rnacentral:rRNA from 1 species